rnacentral:rRNA from 1 species
GACGAACGCUGGCGGCGUGCCUAAUACAUGCAAGUCGAACGGUCUUUUCUAUGGAAGCUUGCUUCCGCUGAGAAGAUAGUGGCGAACGGGUGAGUAACACGUGGGUAACCUGCCCAUAAGAGGGGGAUAACAUCCGGAAACGGGUGCUAAUACCGCAUAGUUUUUCUGAUCGCAUGAUCGGGAAAGGAAAGACGGCCUUUGUGCUGUCGCUUAUGGAUGGACCCGCGGCGUAUUAGUUAGUUGGUGAGGUAACGGCUCACCAAGACGAUGAUACGUAGCCGACCUGAGAGGGUGAUCGGCCACAUUGGGACUGAGACACGGCCCAAACUCCUACGGGCGGCAGCAGUAGGGAAUCUUCCGCAAUGGACGAAAGUCUGACGGAGCAACGCCGCGUGAGUGAAGAAGGUUUUCGGAUCGUAAAACUCUGUUGUCAGAGAAGAACAAGUCGGAGAGUAACUGCACCGGCCUUGACGGUAUCUGACCAGAAAGCCACGGCUAACUACGUGCCAGCCGCCGCCGUAACAC